UACAGAGGUCCCAAGCGUUGUUCGGAUUCAUUGGGCGUAAAGGGUGCGUAGGCGGCGCGGUAAGUCGGGUGUGAAAUCUCGGGGCUUAACUCCGAAACUGCAUUCGAUACUGCCGUGCUUGAGGACUGGAGAGGAGACUGGGAAUUUACGGUGUAGCGGUGAAAUGCGUAGAUAUCGUAAGGAAGACCAGUGGCGAAGGCGGGUCUCUGGACAGUUCCUGACGCUGAGGCACGAAGGUCAGGGGAGCAAACGGG
rnacentral:rRNA from 1 species